rnacentral:rRNA from 4 species
GACUCGUCACACUAUCAUUAACUGAAUCCAUAGGUUAAUGAGGCGAACCGGGGGAACUGAAACAUCUAAGUACCCCGAGGAAAAGAAAUCAACCGAGAUUCCCCCAGUAGCGGCGAGCGAACGGGGAGGAGCCCAGAGCCUGAAUCAGCAUGUGUGUUAGUGGAAGCGUCUGGAAAGGCGCGCGAUACAGGGUGACAGCCCCGUACACAAAAGCGCAUGUGCUGUGAGCUCGAUGAGUAGGGCGGGACACGUGGUAUCCUGUCUGAAUAUGGGGGGACCAUCCUCCAAGGCUAAAUACUCCUGACUGACCGAUAGUGAACCAGUACCGUGAGGGAAAGGCGAAAAGAACCCCGGCGAGGGGAGUGAAAAAGAACCUGAAACCGUGUACGUACAAGCAGUGGGAGCACAGGUUUACCUGUGUGACUGCGUACCUUUUGUAUAAUGGGUCAGCGACUUAUAUUCUGUAGCAAGGUUAACCGAAUAGGGGAGCCGGAGGGAAACCGAGUCUUAAUUGGGCGUUAAGUUGCAGGGUAUAGACCCGAAACCCGGUGAUCUAGCCAUGGGCAGGUUGAAGGUUGGGUAACACUAACUGGAGGACCGAACCGACUAAUGUUGAAAAAUUAGCGGAUGACCUGUGGCUGGGGGUGAAAGGCCAAUCAAACCGGGAGAUAGCUGGUUCUCCCCGAAAGCUAUUUAGGUAGCGCCUCGUGAAUUCAUCUCCGGGGGUAGAGCACUGUUUCGGCUAGGGGGCCAUCCCGGCUUACCAACCCGAUGCAAACUGCGAAUACCGGAGAAUGUUAUCACGGGAGACACACGGCGGGUGCUAACGUCCGUCGUGAAGAGGGAAACAACCCAGACCGCCAGCUAAGGUCCCAAAGUCAUGGUUAAGUGGGAAACGAUGUGGGAAGGCCCAGACAGCCAGGAUGUUGGCUUAGAAGCAGCCAUCAUUUAAAGAAAGCGUAAUAGCUCACUGGUCGAGUCGGCCUGCGCGGAAGAUGUAACGGGGCUAAACCAUG